rnacentral:rRNA from 1 species
AUUGAACGCUGGCGGCAGGCCUAACACAUGCAAGUCGAGCGGAGCUGCGGACGGGUGAGUGAUGCCUAGGACUCUGCCUUUUAGUUGGGGAUAACGUCCGGAAACGGGCGCUAAUACCGCAUCCUAUCAGAUGAGCCUAGGUCGGAUGAGCUAGUUGGCGGGGUAAAGGCAUACCAAGGCGACGAUCCGUAACUGGUCUGAGAGGAUGAUCAGUAACACUGGAACUGAGACACGGUCCAGACUCCUACGGGAGGCAGCAGUGGGGAAUAUUGGAAAAUGGGCGAAAGCCUGAUCGAGCCAUGCCGCGUGUGUGAAGAAGGUCUUCGGAUUGUAAAGCACUGUAAGUUGGGAGGCGUUACCAAAAGAAUAAGCACCGGCUAACUUCGUGCCAGCAGCCGCGGUAAUAC